UGCCUGCCAGAGGACCACAACUCUUGUUUUUAGUGAUGUCUGAGUACUAUAUAAUAGUUAAAACUUUCAACAACGGAUCUCUUGAUUCUGGCGUCGAUGAAGAACGCUGCGAAAUGCGAUAAGUAAUGGGAAUUGCAGAAUUCAGUGAAUCAUCAAAU
rnacentral:rRNA from 1 species